UCUGGCCAAAUCAGCAUUUGUAUCWGGUGGCCUGUGCCACCGUAUCUUAUACACCGGGUCUGCCCCUUCCCACAAAGUCACCCGUGAAAUCACACCUGAAGGGCGCCGAAUUACAAAGCUUGACCAGAUUUUGCUCAACGGGAAUAACAUAGCAAUCCUGGUGCCUGGUGGUUCCCCGGAUCCAGAAUGAUGUGAUAUGCUGGCUGCAAAUGGGCGCUUAAGGGUCAUYCAGACCUCAAACGUCCGUCUUCCACAACUUCAGCUGCCGAGAUGGCRUCGAUGGAUGGAUGUAAGUUCUCURAUUGGCGUUUUCGAAGAAGAAAUUUCAAUUAUUUGUUUAGUUUUAGUCAAAUUUUYGACUUUUAAGGACCAUAGAAUGCAUUAAAAGUUGUAGAUGGAUAUCGGAACUAGGAAUUAAGCUGCAAAAUCUCUUAGGCUUAUUGCUGAGAUCAAUUUAUGCAAAUGCAGCUUCCUACAAUUACUUGGGUUUUCUAUAUAAUUGCUUACAGUGACUGAAGGGCUGUUUGGUUGGUU